AGCAUGACGUCACAUUAGAAUCAACUACGGACAACGUUGCCAUCAUUUUAUUCCCGCGAAAAUCUUACUGAAAGCAGUCGCAACAGCUGAAGCUCUGAGAUUUGCGGUCAAUGUCGUUGGAAAUACAGUUUUGGUGUAACCUGCUGAAUGGCAUGCCGAACAACAGAAGACACACUUGAGAUGCGGGGAUCCACCAGAUGAACAGCGGGACAUCUUGACACCUUGACACCACUGACUCAGUACUGAUAGCGUACAUUUAAGAGAAAAGAUGAGCAGUCUAGCACAUUGCU